UAAUGGUUCUAAGCUCAUUUAUGGUUCUACACAUCUUCAUUAUCCAUCUCUUGCAUACCUAAAGGUUUAAUAAUUCACUUAGGUUGUUUCUCUAGUUCACUAGAUAAGUCUUAAGAAUAUCUACAACCGUGUAGAAGAAAUCAAAGGCUAAUUCAGACCAUAAUGGUCCAAAAUAUCUAACUAAAAAAACAUGGCAUUAAGCCCAAGUCCACUAGACUCGGCCCAUUACAUAAGUGCCGACCCAACUGGGGCAACUAACAGUCACUGAUGGUCAAAUGGUUCAACUAACAAACGUCCAGUCAAAGUCAAUGUCCUGGUCAAAUGGUCAACUUGGUCAAAGAAGACAACUCGGUCAAGGUCCACUGAGUCAAAACGAUUUAAGACUGGUUAACAGAUUAAACUCAACUCAGUCAGAUUGACUAAGUCAGCUAGAGUCUGAUACCUGACUAGGCUGAAUGGCACAAGGCCACAACCAUUGCUCAGGCCAAAACCAUUGCUCAGGCCAAAGAAUACUACAUCACAUUCAUAUCUUCACUGAAAUCUAAUCCACUCUAACGCAUUCCAUUCCCUGUGAUCACAACAAUACCAAAUCCCCAUCUUGAAAUAAAGAUCAAUUCUUGUAUCAUCUCCAUUCUCUGUAACUCAAGACAAUCAUCUACAUUUGCAACAACCUAAGCUUAACCUUAGUUUCCUCAUCGUUCCCAUUUCAUCUUCAUAACUCAGCUUCACUAUAUCAUAACCACUAACUGCAAUUAUACCACCACCAUACUCUAUUUCAUUUCCACAAGGUCUCAAACACAACAGUACCACAACCUUUGCCUUAGCAUCACCAAUGUCACACAAACAAGAACACCAACACCAAUAUUAUUGUUAUCAAAUCCACCAACACAGAUAACUCCACCACCACUUGCAAUACUCACAACAGCAACAACAAUACUCAAAUCAAUCUCGCAUCCACCUAGAUCAUUCAUAUAAACUACAAUCCAUAAUUCAGUUCAGAACAACAACAUCAGCAUCUGCAAUUCAAUACUACUCCCUGCAAUUCCGAGUAACUGUAGCUAACCUUGUAAGUCAUCCAAAAACUGAAUUUCAAUUCUAAUAUUCCUUGUUUCAAUUGUACAACCCUAAUCAAUCCUCCAGAUACCAAAUUCCCCUUUUACCAAAUCUGAGACACAAUAUUAAUUCUUUAUCACUAACUAACACUCAGCAGCAAGCAUCAAAGUCUUCUUAUCACCCAUCAUAUUUAUUCUUCCACCAUCAUCAACUGAAGCUCAAGAACAUCUUCUAAUUCUUAGUAAACCCACCAAUUCUUUUCACUAUUUCAACUCAGAAAUCAAACCUAUCCUCUUGAGUUCAUUAAAACCUCAAUUAAAAUUAAGAACUCUAAUUCCUUCAACUGAAAUUAUAUGAAUCACACAAACUUAAAUUCAAGCAAUAAAAUCUAAUUCAAAACUCAUUAAGUUACCUUUCAACUACUUCCGAAACUCAAUUGAAUUCAACACCAUCAUCAAUUUCUUCUUCUAACUCCAUCCCGAAUUCUUCAGAAACCCUAACUCUUGAUUCUUCAUCAAAACAACUUCACAUCAUCAAUUAAACAACAACCCUCUCACAAUUCUAUCUAAAUCUUCUCAAUCUUUGCCCAAUCCGAACUCAAAUACAACAUGCAGAAACCCUAAUUUCUUUACUGAGAUUAUAUAAUCAACUGCCAAAUCCUCUUCAUAGCUCUCAACUCAUAAUACCCAUCACCAUAUACUUGAUUUCUUUCUCAGAAUCACAAAAAUCCUCAACCGAUUCCAUCUCCAGAAACCCUAGUUUUUCAUUCUCUAACUCACCUCUUCUCUCGAAUAAGAAUUAACUACAGACAACCACAGUACCACCAUAAAUUAUCCCAUGAUCUUCUCCACCUUCUACUAAACACCAAUCUCCUGAUUUUAUCUCUCGAAUCGAACCUCACAGUCGACUCUCGAAGCAGCAGAAGAAAAGAAGAAGAAAUAAGAAGAGAGAAGAAGAAUAAUCAACGCUGCUAAUGGGGGGACCGAAUCCAGCGGGAGUGUACCACAUCCCCCGAGUCAGAUAAGUAAGACAUAGUUGCACAGAAUCAAUGAAGUCACCCCUUAUAGCUUAUAAUCUUAAUCACCUUUAUACCCUUGCCUCGGCCGAAAAGAUACUCUCGAUUCUCUUCUUCGUUCUUCUCUAUUUGUUUUACACGUCUCUCUUCGUUAUCUGUCUCUGUUUUUUCACGGCUAAAAAACUCGAAGACCUGUAAAAGCAUCAAAAUCACCAAGGAGAUCGAAGAAGAUAGCGGGUUAAGAUAAAACGGAAAAACGAAGGAGGGGAUAACAGCGGAGAAUCUAUUGAACAACUUAAUGGUUACAUUUGUAGAUAGAGGUAGUGUACCAAAGCAUAAAACAGUAUCAUUCUUUGAGGAAGACAAAACAAAUUCAGUAUCAUGUCACCUUCUCAGUAGUGGCAAAUCUACUGAUGUGUUGUUAUGGAGGAACAAGACACCGACAAGUGUCAUAUCUGGGUUACAUUCAUUUGGGUGCUCUUUGAAUGGCUUGAAUUUAACUUUUUGUCACUUAUCUUCCUUGGUUUAGUUCUUGGCAUGCUUGCUCAAUUUGUAUGGUCAUAUGCUUCAGGGUUGCUAAACAGGUAAGUUGGGAGAUCAUGCUUUCACCCCCACCCCUCCCAAUUGAAUAAUGAAUGUAUCGUAACUUAUAGUUUGAUUAGUUAAUCAUAAAAGAAGUUUUUCUGAAAAUUACAAGAACAUGUAAUGGUUACUUUUGAGGCCGAAGAUGAUACCAUGUUUUCAGAUAGUAGGAGUGUUGAAAGCUUUAAUCUUGAUGAAAUUGAUUUUUCUACUUCAUUCGAAGGAGGAGGAGUGAUUGAGUCCUAUCUUACUGUUCCUGUGUUUGUUAAUGAUCAGAAAGGCGAUUUUCCAAUAAAUGAUCAAUCAAACACGCAAGCUUUGAUCAUAACAAAAAAGCUGCUCUCCUCAGUCUCUUUGCCAUCGGGUGUGCAAUGGGCUCCCUCUUAGGUGGAUUAAUAGGAGAUAGGAUUUCACGCAUAUACCCAAGCAGGGGGUGUAUCAUGGGUGCACAGUUUAGUGCUUUCAUGGGAGUAUGCUUUUCAUGGUUCCUCAUUGUGGUGAUUCCACAAUCUGUAAGUAGCUGGCCUACUUUUGCUGUCACUCUCUUCUUUAUGGGACUCAUGAUCAGCUGGAAUGGUUCUUGCGCCAACAAUCCAAUGUUCGCUGAAGUAGUCCCCACCCAGCACAGAACCAUGAUAUAUGCAUUUGAUCGUGCCUUUGAAGGCUCAUUCUCUUCAUUCGCCGCUCCCAUUGUUGGGAUCCUCUCAGAAGCAUUUGCUUUAUCUGAAGUCUGCGAAUUCGGUGCACAUUCCGGUAUGAUCUGAAGUCUGCGAAUUCGGCAUCGGGUUCCUUGAAAGAAGCAUUUGCUUUAUCAAGAGGGCUUGUAUCAAUGAUGUGUGUUCCUUAUGCUCUGUGUUCCCUGUUCUAUACCCCAUUGUAUUGGUUUUACAAGCGAGAUCGAGAAAAUGCUAAAAAUGCUGCUUUGAAAGAGCAAGAGAUGACGUGAGUAGAUGUCGUUGGAUUCUCUAAAGCUAGUUUUUGACAAGCUUUCUGACAUAACUGGUGUCCCAGCUAAAGCAAACGAGCCUGUGUACUGUGUAGUGAUUCUUGGUGAGUACAAAUUGGUCCCAGGAAUUUGGCGUGAGUUCACUCAGAUUUGUAGAACAAGUUACAGGAUUCUUAAUUCUUUGAAGAGAUUACUUUGCUGUUUUUUUUUUUUAUAUUUUAAACAAGCGAAGUCAUCUCCUCUAGGAAUUAAGACUUCACUUGUUUAGAACAUACAUAGAAGCUAACAUCAAAACAAUGAUCCAUUUUUUAUUUUAUUUUUUGUAAUUAUGAAGUAUGGCGGUACGUAGUGACAUAGAAUCACACUUUUGUAAAAGAAACAUGGUGAUCGAUGUACAUGUAAUAUAUAUAAACUAUUUUGCUA